AAUAAAACUUUUUGGGAGCGUCAACAAAACAAGAAAAAAAUAAAGAAAAAGGAAUAAUAAACGGCAUUAAGGUUUAUUGAAACCCGUCAAAUUACCAGAGCGUUGAGAGGCACACAUUGGAUCGGAGGACUGGUGCGGACCCCCAGUUCCACGCACAGACAUGGAGCCUGCACACGCGACGGUGAUUCCUCUUAGGUUUACGCCCACCCCCGGGCCUGACCACGAGUGUGUGAACGCAUCCAGUAAUCCGGGCUUUCUGGAAGACCCGGUACCACGGAAUCAGAGCCCAGAAGAAAACGACCAGCAGUAUAAUGGAGGAUUUAAGCCUUAUUGCUGUACUGACCAGACCUCAGAGGGCUCUACAAAGAAGACUCCAGACGAUGACCCCAAAAUCGAGAUGGAGGACAACCCACUGAUCUACAAAAUCAGUGAGGCCACGCCCAUCCAUCUCACGCUGUUCUUUGCCAUGCAACAAGCGCUAUUGUCUCUCUCAACGUCGUUGGCAGUAUCCUUGUUAGUUGCUGACUACGCAUGCGCAGAACAUGACGAGGACUUUAAGUCGAGGUUGCUGAGCUCCACAUUGUUCAUGAAUGGGAUUACUACGCUCCUCAUGGUUACCAUAGGCGUAAGAUUACCUCUGUACCAAGGAGCUACACCGGACUAUGUGGCACCACUGGUUGCCAUGGCAGCCAUUGACAAGGACAGAUGCAACAUGACAACUACAUAUUUCAACACCACUUCCAACUCGACAGAACUUAUCUACACCAGUAACGAUGACGUCAUUAUUUAUCAUAUACAAACAUUACAGGGCAGUCUGAUGCUGGCCGGGGUGAUCCACUUUGUGGUCGGCGCCACUGGAUUGGUCGGGGUCCUGCUGCGCUUCAUUGGACCGGUCACCAUAGUACCCACAAUUCUGUUGAUCGGAAUAUACAUGGUCACAUCCGUCACAAAGUUCGCGCAAGUUCACUGGGGAAUCUCGUCCAUGACCUGUGCUAUCGCCAUCAUCCUGUCCCUGUACCUGUCCAAACACAACAUGCCCAUCCCUGUAUGGACCAGGAAAAAAUCUUGUCACGUGAUCAGAUAUCCUCUGCAUCAGGUGUUUGCUAUUCUGAUCGCCAUUGUGGUUGGCUGGAUCUUCAGCCUCGUUCUGACAGAGUGCGGAGUGUUUGACAGCGCUACGUCAGUCAACGACAAACUGUAUUAUGCCAGAACGGAUACCAGAAACUACGUCAUCAAAAACGCCAAGUGGUUUCAGUUCCCUUACCCAGGACAGUUUGGCCUGAUUCGAUUCAGCAUCAGUGCUUUUGUGGGGUUCUUUAUUGCCACCAUUGUCUCCAUUCUGGACUCCAUCGGAGAUUACUACGCAUGCGCCACCACGUGCCGUGUCCCGCCUCCUCCUGCACACGCAGUGAAUCGUGGGAUAGCUGUGGAGGGCCUGUGUACCACGCUGUCUGGAGCCGUUGGUUGUGGGCAUGGUACUACGACAUACGGAGGGAACAUCGGCGCUAUUGGUUUGACUAAAGUCGCCAGCAGACACGUGUUUGUGUGCGUGUCCUUGGUUUACAUCCUGUUUGGAAUUAUUGGUAAAUUUUCGGCCGUGUUCAUCACCAUCCCCCACCCCGUGCUCGGUGGCGCUCUCAUCAUCAUGUUCGGAAUGUUUAAUGGGGUAGUUCUCUCCAAUCUCCAGUCAGUGGAUCUCUCGUCUACUCGGAACUCUGCCAUCAUCGGAACCUCUCUGCUGGUUGGCUUGAUGCUGCCACACUGGAUUGAGCGAUAUCCUAAUACGGUGGAUACAGGAUAUCCGGAUGUAGAUGAUGUACUGAAAAUGUUACUAGGAAACCCAAACAUGGUGGGUGCCAUACUUUCCUGUUUCCUUGACAACACCGUACCAGGUACCCCCGAGGAGCGCGGGAUAACGGCCUGGCAGACGGUAGACGAGGAGGCCGUGUCCUCGGGAAACUACCAGGAGGGGUUCGAGGUCUACAAACCCUGGCUCCCGGCGCGCGUCACCAAUGCUAGCUUUAUGACCUACAUCCCAUUCAUGCCCAAUCCCAAGAAACCCGUCCCGGAGCGCCAUCUGUCGGUGGACCUAGGAAGGAGAAAAAGUUUAGUACACGCAAUUCCCACUGGGCGUUGAUAAAGAUUUCAUUUAUUUAACUUUUACAAUUGUUUAGAACCUUGCUAUUGAUUGUUAAGGUGAUUUAAACCUGUUUUCAAUUUUCAUACACAACCAAGCACACUGGUGUGAGAAUGAAACUCAGUAGUGUCCGAAACACGCAUAUAUGACGUCUUUUGAUGGCAGCAACAUACUAGUACAUGUCUGUUAUACCUGUAUUCAACUCAUGCAUCAAUUGUAUCAUCAAUAAAUAAAGAAUAUAGUGUUACUUAUUCAGCAAUAUAAGCAGUGUUUUCCAGUUGGCAUUGCUAUGACUGCGGUAAUAGCUCUGCUGGCUAUAGUUCACAGUUUUCUUAGCGCUUCUUGGUUAAUUUGUUAUGAGCGCAAUUGAAAUUUAUAUUUAAAAUAAAGGAAUUCCUUUUUA